rnacentral:rRNA from 1 species
AUACGUAGGGGGCGAGCGUUGUCCGGAAUGAUUGGGCGUAAAGGGCGCGUAGGCGGCUUUGCAAGUCAGUAGUGGAAGUCCAUUUUUCAAGGGUGGAAGUGCUACAGAAACUGCGGAGCUUGAGUGCAGGAGAGGUUAUCGGAAUUCCCGGUGUAGCGGUGAAAUGCGUAGAGAUCGGGAGGAACACCAGUGGCGAAGGCGGGUAACUGGACUGCAACUGACGCUGAGGCGCGAAAGUGUGGGGAGCAAACAGGAUUAGAUACCCUGGUAGUCCACACUGUAAACGAUGAAUGCUAGGUGUAGGAGGUAUCGACCCCUUCUGUGCCGCAGUAAACACAGUAAGCGUUCCGCCUGGGGAGUACGGUCGCAAGGCUGAAACUCAAAGGAAUUGGCGGGG